rnacentral:tRNA from 1 species
CGGAUAGCUCAGUCGGUAGAGCAGGGGAUUGAAAAUCCCCGUGUCGGUGGUUCGAUUCCGCCUCCG